UACAGAGGGGGCCAGCGUUAUUCGGAAUUAUUGGGCGUAAAGGGCGCGUAGGCGGCCAUGCGUGUCUUCCGUGAAAUCCCUCGGCUUAACCGAGGACGUGCGGAAGAAACUGCAAGGCUCGAGUCCGGAAGAGGGGGGCGGAAUUCCCAGUGUAGCGGUGAAAUGCGUAGAUAUUGGGAGGAACACCAGUGGCGAAGGCGGUCCCCUGGGCCGGAACUGACGCUGAGGAGCGAAAGCGUGGGGAGCGAACAGG
rnacentral:rRNA from 1 species